rnacentral:lncRNA from 10 species
CAUAAAGAGAACAAGUCUCAGCCAGUAGCUCAGCUCAGGGGAGAGGCUCUCAGCUGAGUCCCCACUGAACAUUCUGGGGUAUAGGGUCUCUAAAUCACCUCCUUCUUGGGAUUGAUUCCUGAGCUGCCAGAACCCAACAGAAGGCAAGUUUCCUGCUAUAAGUUCCUCUUUCCUUCUUGAUGAGGACGGACACUUCAGAGCCAAAGAGGAAACGAAUCCCAUCUGUUCUGAGCCCCCAAGCACAGUUCAAGAGGACAGGCUGGGGAGUGGAGGAAGGGGCGGUGAAGAGAAAAAUAAGAAGACUGGAACAUCCAGCCACACACGGAGGGCAGGAAGCCACCUGAUGAGAGAGCCAGGGUGUGGCAGAAGUCGCCAAGGAAUCCUUCUGUUCCCGACACACGCCUACAGCACUCGCUCAAGAUGGAGCCUGCUGACUCUGUCUAAGGCCCUGUGGCCCUUGGCAUAGGUUUCAGGACAGCAGUCCUGUCAGGGCUGUGGACCUCACACCUCUAUGUAAUGUGAAGGGCACCCUCUGGAGUUGUGGGACUUGGCAGUAGUGUUACUGCACUGGCCUGCAAGUCCCCAUCCAUUACUGCCACCCAGCUCAGACACAGCUCACCCAUUCACAUACACAAAAAUGGACACAUUGAGAGGGAAACCCACAUUAAAGUAGGGAGAAGAUGGAGGGCCCUCUGACCUCCUCCCAUCAGGCACGUGUGCCUCCUCUACUCAGUGCCUGCAUCCACCUCUGUAUGGGUACCCAUCCUCUAUUCCCCUCCCACUCCAAUGGAUGCCAGGGAUGGAAGGACAGAUGGCUGUGAAACUUAUCUUCUUAUUUAGAUUAAAUUCCAGACUUUCCUAUUUUUAGAAAAACAAAUUCCUUUUGUAUUUCCAAGUGGUAAAAAUGGCCCGAGCUGUCAUCUAGGACAGUCAGCAGCCAACUCAAAGUUGUCUGCAGUGUCAUGAUUUGGAUAUUACCCUGGCGAGACUACUUCUAGUGUCAAGCGGGUGAUCAGUCUAGGUGCCAAAUUUUAAGAGGGUCAUUGACGUCCUGAGAGCUUCCAGAGGAGGGUGACCAGGACAAUGAAAGGUUCGAAAAACUGGGUCAUUGAAAAAAGUACUGAAAUAAGCUAGGGACUUUUUCUUUUUCUUUUUGGUCUAGAGAAUAUUUGAGCUAUAUUAAGAACAUGUUGAAAUAUUUGGAUGAAGAGUUACACCCUUAUUCUAUUUUUCCCAGAUGACAGAAUUUGAAUCAAUAGGUAGAAGUUACAGCGAAACAGAUUUCAGUUGAAUAUUUAGAAACUUUCUUAUAACUUAAUUCUGUAUGAUAUGGAAUAAGCUUCCCAUCACUGUGCCUAUGCAAGCCAAGGAUGAAAGACUGUCUGUCAGGGAUACUGUAGAUAAGAUUAUUGUACUAGAUAGGAACAUGGACUAGUCUAAAAUUACUGAGAAGCUUUAGAAAAAUGUGGCUUUCUGGGUAGCAGAGAUUCUGCAUUGGUAAGUCUGAGGCUUAGAAUUUGUAUUUCCAAAAAACCCCAUCAGCUAUAAAACUCUCAGAAGAAAACGUAGGGGAAAAGCUGCAUGGCGUUAGAUUUUGCAGUGAUUUCUUAGAUAUGACACUCAAAGCAUAGCCAACAAAAGAAAAAAACAGAUAAAAUGGAUUUCAUCUAAAUAAAAAGCUUUUGUGCAUCAAAGGAUACAUCUACAGAAUGAAAAGGAAACCCAAUACACAGAAUGAAAGAAAAUAUCUCCAAAUCAUACAUGUGAUAAAAGGUUCAUAUCUAGCAUAUAUAAAGAACUCUUAACACU